GACGAACGCUGGCGGCGUGCCUAAUACAUGCAAGUCGAACGAGAGCGACCGGUGCUUGCACUGGUCAAUCUAGUGGCGAACGGGUGAGUAACACGUGGGUAACCUGCCCAUCAGAGGGGGAUAACAUCCGGAAACGGAUGCUAAAACCGCAUAGGUCUUCGAACCGCAUGGUUUGAAGAGGAAAAGAGGCGUAAGCUUCUGCUGAUGGAUGGACCCGCGGUGCAUUAGCUAGUUGGUGAGGUAACGGCUCACCAAGGCCGUGAUGCAUAGCCGACCUGAGAGGGUGAUCGGCCACAUUGGGACUGAGACACGGCCCAAACUCCUACGGGAGGCAGCAGUAGGGAAUCUUCCGCAAAGGACGCAAGUCUGACGGAGCAACGCCGCGUGAGUGAAGAAGGUUUUCGGAUCGUAAAACUCUGUUGUUAGAGAAGAACAAGUGCUAGAGUAACUGUUAGCGCCUUGACGGUAUCUAACCAGAAAGCCACGGCUAACUACGUG
rnacentral:rRNA from 1 species